rnacentral:RNase_P_RNA from 1 species
UGAGACCUCUUGAUGGCCGCGACCAGCAAUGGUUGAGGAACUUCCGGGCUCCGCAGAGCACGAUGGCGGAUAACGUCCGCCCAGGGCGACCUGAGAGAUAGCGCAGCAGAGAACAGACCGCCCGUCCCUCGGGACGGGUAAGGGUGAAACGGCGGUGUAAGAGACCACCGGGCCGCUGGCAACAGUCGGCCGCAUGGCAAGCCUCAUCGGGAGCAAGGCCAAGCAGAAGACGCUUGAGGGCUGCUCGCCCAAUGUCUUCGGGUAGGCUGCUAGAGCCUGACGGCGACGUCAGGUCGAGAUGGAUGGCCAUCCGUGGCGCGACGUCCCGGGACGCCGCGCCACGACAGAACCCGGGGUAUAAGAGGUCUCACCCU